rnacentral:misc_RNA from 1 species
AAGUCGUAACAAGGUUUCCGUAGGUGAACCUGCGGAAGGAUCAUUAACAAAUUAUCUGACCAAAACACUAACGGGGGUCACAUCCCGUUUUUGUAUCCCAACCAAACAGCGAACUAACCGCAAGGGCUGGGCGUCAUGCUCAGUUCUCCCUUGCGUUUUUUCUCUUUUUUUUCCCAAUUUUAAAACCCAAUGAAACAUUUUGACUGAACCUUGUUUUUGCUCUCGAAAGGGAGGAGAACAAUGAAAAAAAAAAAACCAAAUAACAACUCUUAACAACGGAUAUCUUGGCUCUC